GGUUAACUGUACAAAAGCUACAUACACAUCCAUGAUUUCACCUGAGCUCAGCAGAGGCCCAUGGCAGGACAGUGCAGAGGCACAGCUGACGGGGCUCUUUGCUUGUUCCUGAUGCUCUUUCCCGAAGGGGGCCCGUACAUGGAGUCAUUCAGUGGCUGGGGCCAUAAAUGAGGGCCGCACCAGCGGCUCAGCACUGCUUAUUCUAAAAGGACACAAGGACUUUGGAGCGCAGCCAAAAUGCCUGGAACAAAAGGUAAUAAGGCGGACAAGAAAUCCACCACCAAGCAACCACAGAGUCCUAAGGAGCAGCCGAAAAAAGGUGAUCAGAAAGGAGAUGAUGCCAAAAAGCAAGGAGGUAAAUAUUGACAACAGCAUAGAAGACACGAGUGAAAAAAGGCAUUUCAGAUGCAUGAAAUACAAGCAAAAAUGACGCCGCAAAUAUCUGAAAUGUAAAAUGCUUUUUAUUGCUUAUGAAA
rnacentral:lncRNA from 1 species